AGAAGAAAGAGGGGAGGAGCUAAAGGAGAAUGAGGAAGAGAGACGAUCCAGGUCUGUAGAGGCAGUGUACCUGUCUUCAGUGGGCUCCUGGCGGAGGUGACAGCCCGCAGUAUCGAACAGCUCCACAAGGUGGCAGAGUUGAUCCUCCACGGACAGGACCUGGAGAAACCUGCCAGAGACCAGGCUCACAUACUCACCAGGUUGACGUGUGCCAUGUGUCGGGAGGUGGGUUGUCUUGCCAGGAAGUUCUCUGAUACUCUGCUUGUUGCAGGUUGACGUGUGCCAUGUGUCGGGAGGUGGGUUGUCUUGCCAGGAAGUUCUCUGAUACUCUGCUCACCGUUGGGGUUCAGAGAAAAG